rnacentral:rRNA from 1 species
CCUACGGGUGGCUGCAGUGGGGAAUAUUGGUCAAUGGGCGCAAGCCUGACCCAGCAACGCCGCGUGAAGGAAGAAGGCUCUCGGGUUGUAAACUUCCUUUAUCAGGGACGAAGCAAGUGACGGUACCUGAUGAAUAAGCCACGGCUAAGUACGUGCAAGCAGCCGCGGGAAUACGUCGGGAGCAAGCGUUAUCCGGAUUUACUGGGUGUAAAGGGCGUUUAGGCGGGAGUGCAAGUCAGAUGGGAAAACUAUGGGGUCAACCCAUAGCCUGCAUUUGAAACUGGCCGUCUUGAGUGCUGGAGAGGCAAGCGGAAUUCGGGGUGUAGCGGUGAAAUGCGUAGAUAUACGGAGGAACACCAGUGGCGAAGGCAGAUUACUGGACUGUAACUGACGCUGAGGCGCGAAAGUGUGGGGAGCAAACAGGAUUAGAUACCCCAGUAGUC